CCUACGGGUGGCAGCAGUGAGGAAUAUUGGUCAAUGGACGAGAGUCUGAACCAGCCAAGCAGCGUGAAGGAUGAAUGCCCCAUGGGUUGUAAACUUCUUUUAUAUGGGAAUAAAAUGAUCCACGAGAGGGUUUCUGUAUGUACUAUAAGAAUAAGGAUCGGCUAACUCCGUGCCAGCAGCCGCGGUAAUACGGAGGAUCCGAGCGUUAUCCGGAUUUAUUGGGUUUAAAGGGAGCGUAGGUGGAUUGUUAAGUCAGUUGUGAAAGUUUGCGGCGCAACCGGAGAAUUGCGGUUGAAACUGGCAGUCUUGAGUACAGGAGAGGUGUGCGGAAUUCGUGGUGUAGCGGUGAAAUGCUUAGAUAUCACGAAGAACUCCGAUUGCGAAGGCAGCAUACUGGACGGCAACUGACACUGAGGCUCGAAAGUGUGGGUAUCAAACAGGAUUAGAUACCCCGGUAGUC
rnacentral:rRNA from 1 species